AGAGUUUGAUCAUGGCUCAGAUUGAACGCUGGCGGCAGGCCUAACACAUGCAAGUCGAGCGGUAGCACAGGAGAGCUUGCUCUCUGGGUGACGAGCGGCGGACGGGUGAGUAAUGUCUGGGAAACUGCCUGAUGGAGGGGGAUAACUACUGGAAACGGUAGCUAAUACCGCAUAACGUCUUCGGACCAAAGUGGGGGACCUUCGGGCCUCACGCCAUCAGAUGUGCCCAGAUGGGAUUAGCUAGUAGGUGGGGUAAUGGCUCACCUAGGCGACGAUCCCUAGCUGGUCUGAGAGGAUGACCAGCCACACUGGAACUGAGACACGGUCCAGACUCCUACGGGAGGCAGCAGUGGGGAAUAUUGCACAAUGGGCGCAAGCCUGAUGCAGCCAUGCCGCGUGUGUGAAAAAGGCCUUCGGGUUGUAAAGCACUUUCGGCGAGGAGGAAGGGUAGUGUGUUAAUAGCACAUUGCAUUGACGUUACUCGCAGAAGAAGCACCGGCUGACUCCGUGCCAGCAGCCGCGGUAAUACGGAGGGUGCAAGCGUUAAUCGGAAUUACUGGGCGUAAAGCGCACGCAGGCGGUUUGUUAAGUCAGAUGUGAAAUCCCCGCGCUUAACGUGGGAACUGCAUUUGAAACUGGCAAGCUAGAGUCUUGUAGAGGGGGGUAGAAUUCCAGGUGUAGCGGUGAAAUGCGUAGAGAUCUGGAGGAAUACCGGUGGCGAAGGUGGCCCCCUGGACAAAGACUGACGCUCAGGUGCGAAAGCGUGGGGAGCAAACAGGAUUAGAUACCCCGGUAGUCC
rnacentral:rRNA from 1 species